AGGACGAACGCUGGCGGCGUGCUUAACACAUGCAAGUCGAGCGGUAAGGCCUUUCGGGGUACACGAGCGGCGAACGGGUGAGUAACACGUGGGUGAUCUGCCCUGCACUUCGGGAUAAGCCUGGGAAACUGGGUCUAAUACCGGAUAUGACCUCCUAUCGCAUGGUGGGUGGUGGAAAGAUUUAUCGGUGCAGGAUGGGGCCCGCGGCCUAUCAGCUUGGUUGGUGGGGUAAUGGCCUACCAAGGCGACGACGGGUAGCCGACCUGAGAGGGUGACCGGCCACACUGGGACUGAGACGACGGCCCAGACCUCCGUACGGGAGGCAGCAGGUGGGGAAUAUGGCACGAAGUGGGACGAAAGCUAGAGUCGCGAGCGACGCCGCGUGAGGAUGACGGCCGUUAGGGUUCGUAACCGUCUUUACCGAG
rnacentral:rRNA from 1 species